rnacentral:rRNA from 1 species
GAUGAACGCUGGCGGCGUGCCUAAUACAUGCAAGUCGAGCGAACAGACGAUGCGCUUGCUCCUCUGACGUUAGCGGCGGACGUGUGAGUAACACGUGUAUAACCUCCCUAUAAGACUGGGAUAACUUCGGGAAACCGGCGCUAAUACCGGAUAACAUGUUGCACCGCAUUGUUUAACGGUGAAAUACGGUCUUUCUGUCACUUAUCGCUGCAUCCCCGCCGCAUUAGCUAGUUGGUAAGGUCACGGCUUACCAAGGCUACCAUGCGUAGCCGACCUGAGAGGGGGAUCGGCCACACUGGAACUGAGACACGGUCCAGACGCCUAAGGGAGGCAGCAGAAGGGAAUCGUAGGCAAUGGGCGAAAGCCUGACGGAGCAACGCGGCGUGAGUGAAGAAGGUAUUCGGAUCGUAAAACUCUGUUAUUAGGGGAGAACAAAUGUGUAAGUAACUAUGCACGUAUUGACGGUAACUAAUAAGAAAGCAACGGCUAACUACGUG